ACUCCUACGGGAGGCAGCAGUGGGAAUAUUGGACAAUGGGCGAAAGCCUGAUCCAGCCAUGCCGCGUGAGUGAUGAAGGCCCUAGGGUUGUAAAGCUCUUUCACCGGUGAAGAUAAUGACGGUAACCGGAGAAGAAGCCCCGCUAACUUCGUGCCAGCCAGCCGCCGGGUAAUACGAAGGGGCGUAGCGUUGUUCGGAAUUACUGGGCGUAAAGCGCAUGCAGGUGGUUUGUUAAGUCAGAUGUGAAAGCCCGGGGCUCAACCUCGGAACUGCAUUUGAAACUGGCAGACUAGAGUACUGUAGAGGGGGUGAGAAUUUCAGGUGUAGCGGUGAAAUGCGUAGAGAUCUGAAGGAAUACCGGUGGCGAAGGCGGCCCCUG
rnacentral:rRNA from 1 species